UAUGAAAAUUGAUGAAACAUUGAUAUAUUUGAUAAAAAGGGGAAUAAUGCAUUGAAUGGAUGUAUGAAUGUUUAUCACACUAUCCAUUAAUUCUAUCGGUAAUUUUGGAUAUUUUGAUUAUGGUUAUAAUGGCAUGUAUGAGUUAAAUUGGCCAACGUUAGCUCAUUAAUGUUUUGAUUUUGAUUGAUUUUAAAUAUGAAUCCUUGAUGAAAUGAAAUGUUUGUAAAUUAAUUUGUAAACUCCGAUAAUGCUCUAUAACCCUAUUCUGGAGAUGAAUACGGGUUAGGGGUGUUACAUUCGUAGUUCAUAAUCACAGGUGAAAUUCCUGGAUUUAUGAAAGACGAGCAGCUACGAAAGCAUUUUCCAAGGAUGUUUUCGUUAAUCAAGAAUGAAAUUUGGGUGCUCGUAGGGAUCAAAUACCAUCUUAGUGUCAACCAUAAACGAUGUCAACCAAGGAUCGACGAAUGUUGCUUUUAGGACUCCACCAGCACCUUAUGCGAAAUCUAAGUCUUUGGGAUCUGGGGGAGUAUGGUCGCAAGGCUGAAACUUAAAGGAAUUGAUGGUAGGGCACCACUAGGAGUGGAGCCUACAGCUUAAUUUGACUCAACACAAGGAAACUUAACAGGUCCAGACAUACUAAGGAUUGACAAAUUGAUAUCUCUUUCUUGAUUCUACGAGUGGUAGUGCAUGGCCAUUCUUAGUUGGUGGAGCGAUUUUUCUAGUUAAUUCUAUUAAUGAACGAGACCUCAGCCUGCUAACUAGCUACACUGAGGUGAUCCUCCAUAGCUAGCUUCUUAAAGGGACUAUGGCCUUUUAGGCUAAGGAAGUUUGAGGUAAUAGCAGGUCUGUUAUGCCCUUAGAUGUUCUAGGCCACACGCGUGCUACACUGAUACAUUCAACGAGUCUAUAGCUUUGUACACAGGCCUGGGUAAUCUUUGAAAUUUCAUCGUGAUAGGGAUAGAUCAUUACAAUUAUUGGUCUUCAAUGAGGAAUUCCUACUAAGUGCAAGUCAUCAGCUCGUGAUGACUAUGCCCUUACCCUUUGUACGCAUCGCCCGUUGCUCUUACCGAUUGAAUGGUCUGGUGAAGCGUUCGGAUCGAUGUGACGUAGGCGAUUCGCUGCCCAUGACAUCACAAGAAGUUCACUAAACCUUAUCAUUUAGUGGAAGGAUAAGUCAUAACAAGGUUUCCCAACAAGCCAAGC
rnacentral:ncRNA from 1 species